rnacentral:rRNA from 1 species
CGGAGAGGGAGCAUGAGAAACGGCUACCACAACUAAGGUUGGCAGCAGGCGCGCAAAUUGCCCAAUAGCAACACAUCGCUGAGGCAGCGAAGAGAAAUAGCAACUUCAUGCGGCCCUGCCGUGUGAAGAUUGCCAUGGACGAUAUCUAAACCUGUCGAUGAGUAUCAAUUGGUGGACAAGUCUGGUGCCAGCACCCGCGGUAAUUCCAGCACCAAUAGCGUAUAUUAAUGCUGCUGCUGUUAAAAAGCUCGUAGUUGGAUCAAGAGUUGGACAGUGCACGGUGGCCCUGUUUGUGUGGUUGGCUCCGGUCAGCCAUACGGCAGCGGAACAACCCCGUGCGCCAAACUGUCCACUCUAACAGACCGAAAUGGUUCCCUGUGAGUAGGCUCCUUAAUUGGGGCUGAAAGCGCCUACGCAUCAACCAUAUAUAUGCAUACGGGACGUCGGUCAACGUUACUGUGAACAAACCAGCGUGUCCAAAGCAGGCUUUCGCCUGAAUGUUCGAGCAUGGAAUAACAAGGGAUCGAUUCUCUCGGUUCUUUUUUGUUGGUUUUUAACCCGAGAAGGAGUAAUUCAGGCCACGGUGUCUGAGUUGGGUUUCCCUGGGCUUCGGCUCAGGCCCCAAUUAGGCCGUGUCCUUACGGGAUCAAUAGGGACUGACGGGGUCGUACCUACUUCCGCGUCAGAGGUGAAAUUCUUAGAUCGCGGGAAGAGGAACUUCUGCGAAAGCAUUCGACAAGAAUGUCUUCAUUAAUCAAGAACGAGAGUGUGGGGAUCGAAGAUGAUCAGAUACCGUCGUAGUCCACUACUGUAAACAAUGCCGUCUCAGGAUUGAGAAGUGAACAGAAUGACUUUCACAGCACUAACCCCUGAAACGAGAAAUCAAAGAUUAUGGGAUCAGGGGGGAGUACAUUCGCAAGGCUGAAACUUAAAGGAAUUGACGGAAUGACACCACAAGGCGUGGAGUAUGCGGCUUAAUUUGACUCAACACGGGGAAUUUUACUAGGUCAGGACAAUGUAAGGAUUGACAGAUUGAGAGCUCUUUCUCGAUCCAUUGUGUGGUGGUGCAUGGCCGCUCCUGGUUGAUGGAGUGAUUUGUCUGGUUGAUUCCGUUAACGAACGAGAUCUCGACCCUUAAAUAGGUGCGCAUGUCGAUUGUAGCCUCAUCUCCGCCAGCUUGCUGGAUUGGAUUGGGGCGAGACUGUGCGAAUACUUCUUAAGGGGACUGUGUGCGUCUCUAGCACGCGGAAGAGCGAGCCAAUAGCAGGUCUGUGAUGCUCCUAAAUGUCCUAGGCUGCACGCGCACUACACUGAUGCAAUAAACGAGUCUGAGUGCCUUCUGGCAGCCUACCUGGAAGCGGGUGGGAAAUCUUUUGAACUUGCAUCGUGAUGAGGAUCGACGAUUGCAAUUAUUCUCCUUGAAUGAGGAAUGCCUAGUAGGCACAAGUCAUCAGCUUGUACUGAUUACGUCCCUGCCAUUUGUACACACCGCCCGUCGUUGCUACUGAUUGGCUGUAGGGUAGAGAUCGGCGGGUUCUGAACUCUUGGGGCAACUCAUUUGUUCGGGAGAAACCUAUCAAUAUUCUUCAGCUAGAAGAAGCAAAAGUCGUAACAAGG